rnacentral:lncRNA from 1 species
CAUUCCUGUCAAUAGAGGGUUUGACCCUUAGUAUCAAUCCCUGCAUUACAAAACUACAUAGCCAACAUAGUUUGAGAUAUCUUCCUUCCAGAUAGUAUAAGGGUUGAUAUAUCUCAUUUAAGUUUUCCUUCCAGCGAGGGUUGAUGAAAGAGCUUCCUAUCAGAAAGGGUUAACUCAAAGCUUGUCUCUACCGGUGGCACGGUACUGACACCCUUCCAACUAGG